CACAACAUAGACGUGACUGUGAGAAUAGAAAGGAGUCAACUGCACUGGCUUGUCAUGCUCUAUCACUUGGGCAUAGUUUUGAUUUUGAGAAUGUUGACGUUUUAAAUCGGGAGUCUAAUUGGUUUAGGCGGGGGUUCAAUGAAAUGAUCUAUAUUAAUAAACAUCCUAAUGCAGUUAAUUUCCGUUCGGAUAUUGGCUCCUUGAGUGUUGUUUAUUCAAAUUUGAUUCAAAAAAUUAAGUUAAAAUGAAAUCGUUGAAACACGUUGGAUCCGCCACUGUACGUUUGAAAAUUGUUCUCGUGGUUUGUCAUGUGUGGGUGCUGUUUUUGUGAUGUUGGGGUUCAGUUGACUCUCGGAUAUCUCCAUUGUGUGUGAGCCGUGUUGAUUCUGUGUACAUCGAUGAUUUUGAUCCUUGUUAUACCUAAAUGCUUAUUUUAUGUUGCAGACGAUUUUCUUUAAUGAAAGAUUCAAUUUUUUAAUUUUUUCUUGUAUUCCGAUGCCUGAAGAAGGCCCAAUAAAGGUGCCGAAACGUCGCUGAAGGAAUA